UUAGGCCCUUUUAAAAAAUCUUGUGUUAUGAUUAUGCCGAUCAGCUGCAGAACAAAACUGCUUUGCAUUUAAAAAUUAAGAUUUUGGGCAAAAAUUUACUGCCACUUUAUAACAAAUUCCAGCAUUUUAUUCGCUUUCGCUCUCGCAAGAAUCACCAUGGAUCGAAAAAACAUGCUCAAAUUGUUGGCCGGAACCGUGAUAACCCUGCACCUGAGCUUCUACUUUAUCAAACCGCUGCUUUUGCCUCCACCUGCAGAUGAACGGGAAAAAUCCGCCGCGAACUCCCGACCCACUUACUAAUCUGCAAAAUGUUUUAACCUUGGGACGCUGUGAUAUCUAUAGAGCAAAUACAUUCAACGAUUUUAAUGUUGCGAUUA